rnacentral:piRNA from 1 species
UGAGCAAACAAAUCAUUUCUUCUAGUUGCU